GACGAACGCUGGCGGCGUGCCUAAUACAUGCAAGUAGAACGCUGAAGGAGGAGCUUGCUUCUCUGGAUGAGUUGCGAACGGGUGAGUAACGCGUAGGUAACCUGCCUGGUAGCGGGGGAUAACUAUUGGAAACGAUAGCUAAUACCGCAUAAGAGUAGAUGUUGCAUGACAUUUGCUUAAAAGGUGCAAUUGCAUCACUACCAGAUGGACCUGCGUUGUAUUAGCUAGUUGGUGGGGUAACGGCUCACCAAGGCGACGAUACAUAGCCGACCUGAGAGGGGGAUCGGCCACACUGGGACUGAUACACGGCCCAGACUCCUACGGGAGGCAGCAGUAGGGAAUCUUCGGCAAUGGACGGAAGUCUGACCGAGCAACGCCGCGUGAGUGAAGAAGGUUUUCGGAUCGUAAAGCUCUGUUGUAAGAGAAGAACGAGUGUGAGAGUGGAAAGUUCACACUGUGACGGUAUCUUACCAGAAAGGGACGGCUAACUACGUG
rnacentral:rRNA from 1 species